rnacentral:misc_RNA from 1 species
GGCACUCCCCAACCUUUUCUAUCUAUCCUUAGAAGUAGGAUAAAAAAGUGUAUAAAGACCGGAUUAUCUCUCUGAAUCAGGUUAUUCACUGGGCUGUUAAGCCAUCUAGUCUUCUAGGGUUGAUCGAUCCGUUUCAAGAGGAUUCAUCCAAGACUCUAGAUUUCGUUAAUUCUAAGGAGGAACCCAUUCCAUAAGGAAGAUGAGAGGUAUGCAAAUAAGGCAUACAUAGUUGGCUGGUUAUUUGUCUCUCCUAUCCCUGCUGCUACUGCAGGUGCCCGGAAUUCAUGGAAUCUCUGGUAGAGGGGAGUCGAGAAAAAUGCAGUAGGAGCUUAUUUUGCCUUUCAUGGCUUUAAUUUGAGCUUCAGAUCCUGAAUCUCCAUAAAUGGGUAUGGGUAUGACUGGUUAAGGUGACCAGCUUUGUGCGGCAACCGCAAGUGUUGGUACUCUGGAACGUUAUAGCUAAGGAGCGGAUUUCAAGGUCCCUUGACUUGCCAAACGAUUUCCAGUAUGCCUAUACAGUUAGUCUUUACACACAUGAUAGUGGCAGCCAGGUUAUCGACGAUUCUACAAUAGGCGGCCGCUGGAAAACCCGACUUAGCGAAUCACUUCCAGGCUGGCAAACAAUCUAUCUCGUGCCAGUGGCUCUUGUUCGCCUCAUUUAUGCUGGUGGCAUCCCGUACCGUAUUGUGCUGAACACUCACAAAAGCCGUGGCCUUCCGCUAUGUUAGACCGUCCCCUAGAAGUACAAUGGUUGGUCCCUCCGGAACUGGUAAUCUCCGUUUGACUUGAAAGGAGCCUUGUUCAGCAGGUGCGCAGCAAAUAUUCUUUCACAAGUUUGACGCAAGUCGUACCUCCCAGCCCCCUUAGCUACUUGUACUAAAAAACUAGGACGCUAUACGGAAAUUCGUGCCUGCUUAUCCCGGCUACAAUA